rnacentral:rRNA from 1 species
UUGAAGAGUUUGAUCAUGGCUCAGAUUGAACGCUGGCGGCAGGCCUAACACAUGCAAGUCGAGCGGUAGCACAGAGAGCUUGCUCUCGGGUGACGAGCGGCGGACGGGUGAGUAAUGUCUGGGAAACUGCCUGAUGGAGGGGGAUAACUACUGGAAACGGUAGCUAAUACCGCAUAAUGUCGCAAGACCAAAGUGGGGGACCUUCGGGCCUCAUGCCAUCAGAUGUGCCCAGAUGGGAUUAGCUAGUAGGUGGGGUAACGGCUCACCUAGGCGACGAUCCCUAGCUGGUCUGAGAGGAUGACCAGCCACACUGGAACUGAGACACGGUCCAGACUCCUACGGGAGGCAGCAGUGGGGAAUAUUGCACAAUGGGCGCAAGCCUGAUGCAGCCAUGCCGCGUGUGUGAAGAAGGCCUUCGGGUUGUAAAGCACUUUCAGCGGGGAGGAAGGCGUUAAGGUUAAUAACCUUGGCGAUUGACGUUACCCGCAGAAGAAGCACCGGCUAACUCCGUGCCAGCAGCCGCGGUAAUACGGAGGUGCAAGCGUUAAUCGGAAUUACUGGGCGUAAAGCGCACGCAGGCGGUCUGUCAAGUCGGAUGUGAAAUCCCCGGCUCAACCGGGAACUGCAUUCGAAACUGGCAGGCUAGAGUCUUGUAGAGGGGUAGAAUUCCGUGUAGCGGUGAAAUGCGUAGAGAUCUGGAGGAAUACCGGUGGCGAAGGCGGCCCCCUGGACAAAGACUGACGCUCAGGUGCGAAAGCGUGGGGAGCAAACAGGAUUAGAUACCCUGGUAGUCCACGCCGUAAACGAUGUCGAUUUGGAGGUUGUGCCCUUGAGGCGUGGCUUCCGGAGCUAACGCGUUAAAUCGACCGCCUGGGGAGUACGGCCGCAAGGUUAAAACUCAAAUGAAUUGACGGGGGCCCGCACAAGCGGUGGAGCAUGUGGUUUAAUUCGAUGCAACGCGAAGAACCUUACCUGGUCUUGACAUCCACAGAACUUAGCAGAGAUGCUUUGGUGCCUUCGGGAACUGUGAGACAGGUGCUGCAUGGCUGUCGUCAGCUCGUGUUGUGAAAUGUUGGGUUAAGUCCCGCAACGAGCGCAACCCUUAUCCUUUGUUGCCAGCGGUUAGGCCGGGAACUCAAAGGAGACUGCCAGUGAUAAACUGGAGGAAGGUGGGGAUGACGUCAAGUCAUCAUGGCCCUUACGACCAGGGCUACACACGUGCUACAAUGGCAUAUACAAAGAGAAGCGACCUCGCGAGAGCAAGCGGACCUCAUAAAGUAUGUCGUAGUCCGGAUUGGAGUCUGCAACUCGACUCCAUGAAGUCGGAAUCGCUAGUAAUCGUAGAUCAGAAUGCUACGGUGAAUACGUUCCCGGGCCUUGUACACACCGCCCGUCACACCAUGGGAGUGGGUUGCAAAAGAAGUAGGUAGCUUAACCUUCGGGAGGGCGCUUACCACUUUGUGAUUCAUGACUGGGGUGAAGUCGUAACAAGGUAACCGUAGGGGAACCUGCGGUUGGAUCACCUCCUU